rfam:Tetraodon nigroviridis chromosome 7 SCAF14536, whole genome shotgun sequence.
CCAAAGGCUCUUUUUAGAGCCACUACAGCUCUCGCUAAAGGUCACUU